rnacentral:lncRNA from 1 species
AAGACAGCCUUGAGGUCCAGCAUCACCAGGGCUGGGAGGCCUCUACUACUGCUUCUGCUGGGUCAUGAAUCCUGAGGCCGUGAAGCGGGAGCUCCCCAGACCCCGUGGGCGUUGGGGUUUCCCCUGAGCGAGAGGAGAAAUUAAAAGGGAGUGGAUAGAGGCUGAGGCUGCAGCUUUAUGUUCAGUCUCCACCCUCCACCUCCUCUGCUUGCCUUUGCAGAUCCGUGCAUUGCGUGCAUGGCUCCCACUUGAUGGCUCCAUCAUAGGACACUUAGGAGGAGGUGAGACCUAAUUGGAGGAAGUAAGUCACUGGGGAUUGAGUUCCUGAUGUGUUCCAUUCAUCACUGAUUUCUGUAUCUCUCUGUACUUCCUGUCCACCAUUAAGUCAGAAGUCUACCCUAUUACUGUGAUGUUCUGGCCAGACACAUGGGGCCACGCAACUAUGAACUGAGCUCUCUAAAGUGAAGGGUAGAAUGACAUCUUUCCUCCCUUAGGUUGUUUAUCAGAUCCUCUGUCACAGUGAUGAGAAAAGUAGCUAAUAUUCCCUCUAAACAAGAUCAAGGCCUAAGCAUCCUAGAAGUAGAUAUGUCCUGGGAUAGCCUCUUCAUUCUCAAAUGAAGCAUAAAUAAGUGAUGGGUAAAGGAGCAGGGUCAAGCCACCAGCACGCAGUCAACAUAUGUUUUCAUGUGAACAUUUUAGGGGUUUUGUUUUGUUUAAUUGGGAAAGUCUCUGUUCUCAGUAAGGCUUAGUAAUUUCAAAUUAAGACCACUGAAUUUACAUUGAUAGUGUCCAAAAAGCCUCACUAAAUAAGCACACAAGAUGGGCCUCAGGGCAUACAUAAAAAGGCAUAGAAAAACCAUGAGUGGUCUUGAUUGUCCCUUUGACUCACCUGGGCAGAGCCAACCUCAAAAGUGGAUUUACUGCCAUCAGAUUGGCCUAGGGCAUAUCUGUAAACAUCUUGGGUGCUAGUCAGUGUAGGAGUACUCAGCCCACUGUGGGCAGUGCUAUCCCUAGUCAGGUUGUCCUGUGCUAUUUAAGAAAAGUAGCUGGAGGUAAACUUGGAGUAAGCAGAAUUUCUCCCAUGGUCUCCACAUAAAGCUCCUGCUUUGGUUUCCCCCAAUGAUGGACUGUAACCUAUAAAAUGAAAUAAACUCUUUCUUCUCC